AACGAACGCUGGCGGCAGGCUUAACACAUGCAAGUCGAGCGCCCCGCAAGGGGAGCGGCAGACGGGUGAGUAACGCGUGGGAAUCUACCCAUCUCUACGGAAUAACGCAUGGAAACGUGUGCUAAUACCGUAUACGUCCUUCGGGAGAAAGACUUAUCGGAGAUGGAUGAGCCCGCGUUGGAUUAGCUAGUUGGUGGGGUAAAGGCCUACCAAGGCGACGAUCCAUAGCUGGUCUGAGAGGAUGAUCAGCCACACUGGGACUGAGACACGGCCCAGACUCCUACGGGAGGCAGCAGUGGGGAAUAUUGGACAAUGGGCGCAAGCCUGAUCCAGCCAUGCCGCGUGAGUGAUGAAGGCCCUAGGGUUGUAAAGCUCUUUCACCGGUGAAGAUAAUGACGAUAACCGGAGAAGAAGCCCCGGCUAACCUCGUGCCAGCCGCCGCAGUAACAC
rnacentral:rRNA from 1 species